rnacentral:rRNA from 1 species
GACGAACGCUGGCGGCGUGCUUAACACAUGCAAGUCGAACGGAAAGGCCCUGCUUUUGUGGGGUGCUCGAGUGGCGAACGGGUGAGUAACACGUGAGUAACCUGCCCUUGACUUUGGGAUAACUUCAGGAAACUGGGGCUAAUACCGGAUAGGAGCUCCUGCUGCAUGGUGGGGGUUGGAAAGUUUCGGCGGUUGGGGAUGGACUCGCGGCUUAUCAGCUUGUUGGUGGGGUAGUGGCUUACCAAGGCUUUGACGGGUAGCCGGCCUGAGAGGGUGACCGGCCACAUUGGGACUGAGAUACGGCCCAGACUCCUACGGGAGGCAGCAGGGGGGAAUAUUGCACAAUGGGCGGAAGCCUGAUGCAGCAACGCCGCGGGCGGGAUGACGGCCUUCGGGUUGUAAACCGCUUUCGCCUGUGACGAAGCGUGAGUGGCGGUAAUGGGUAAAGAAGCACCGGCUAACUACGUG